rnacentral:rRNA from 1 species
CCAGACUCCUACGGGAGGCAGCAGUGGGGGAUAUUGCACAAUGGGGGGAACCCUGAUGCAGCGACGCCGCGUGGGUGAAGGAGCGUUUCGGCGCGUAAAGCCCUAUCGGCAGGGAAGAAGGAGGACGGUACCUGACUAAGAAGCCCCGGCUAACUACGUGCCAGCAGCCGCGGUAAUACGUAGGGGGCAAGCGUUAUCCGGAUUUACUGGGUGUAAAGGGGGCGCAGACGGCGAUGCAAGCCAGGAGUGAAAGCCCGGGGCCCAACCCCGGGACUGCUCUUGGAACUGCGUGGCUGGAGUGCAGGAGGGGCAGGCGGAAUUCCUGGUGUAGCGGUGAAAUGCGUAGAUAUUAGAAGGAACACCAGUGGCGAAGGCGACUUGCUGGGCCAUCACUGACGGUCAGGGACGAAAGCGUGGGGAGCGAAUAGGAUUAGAUACCCCAGUACCC